GCCCAGACUCCUACGGGAGGCAGCAGUGGGGAAUAUUGCACAAUGGGGGAAACCCUGAUGCAGCGACGCCGCGUGAGCGAUGAAGUAUUUCGGUAUGUAAAGCUCUAUCAGCAGGGAAGAAAAUGACGGUACCUGACUAAGAAGCCCCGGCUAACUACGUGCCAGCAGCCGCGGUAAUACGUAGGGGGCAAGCGUUAUCCGGAUUUACUGGGUGUAAAGGGAGCGUAGACGGCUGUGCAAGCCAGAUGUGAAAGCCCGGGGCUCAACCCCGGGACUGCAUUUGGAACUGUGUGGCUGGAGUGUCGGAGAGGCAGGCGGAAUUCCUAGUGUAGCGGUGAAAUGCGUAGAUAUUAGGAGGAACACCAGUGGCGAAGGCGGCCUGCUGGACGAUGACUGACGUUGAGGCUCGAAAGCGUGGGGAGCAAACAGGAUUAGAUACCCUUGUAG
rnacentral:rRNA from 1 species